rnacentral:lncRNA from 1 species
GGAAAGGAGAGGUGGGGGCACAAGGAAAAGGGGGUGAACUACUUCAGCAACGGGUCUAUAACUCCUUGGAUCUGCUCAGUCAUCUAGGCUGAGGUGCUUCUUGCCCACCUCCCUAGUGGAAAUUACACCGUCAGAAGUUCCACGUAUGAACAAGCAGAUGAUUUAGCAAACUCUCCCAUAGACAUUUGAAGAUGCUUGUCUCCUUUAAAUUCUGACCUUCAGAUAACAUUUUCAGGGGUUGGAGACAUGGCUCAGCAAUUAAGAGCACUGGCUGCUCUUCCAGAGGGCCUGGGUUCAAGAACCAGCACCCACAUGGCAGCUCCAGUUCCAGGUGAUCUCACUCUCUCACACAGACAAACAUGCAAAACACCAAUGCACAUAAAACAAAA